GACGAACGCUGGCGGCGUGCUUAACACAUGCAAGUCGAACGAGAGCGUAGAGAAAGCUUGCUUUUUCUACAAUCUAGUGGCAAACGGGUGAGUAACGCGUAAACAACCUGCCCUACGGAUGGGGACAACAGCUGGAAACGGCUGCUAAUACCGAAUACGUUCCGAAAGUCGCAUGACUAUCGGAAGAAAGGAUGGCCUCUAUUCAUAAGCUAUCGCCGGAGGAGGGGUUUGCGUCUGAUUAGCUAGUUGGAGGGGUAACGGCCCACCAAGGCGACGAUCAGAAGCCGGUCGGUGCGGAUGAACUGCAACAUUGCAACUGAGACAAGCACCAGAAGGCUACGGGGAUCAGCAGUGGGGAACUUACCGAAAUGGGAGAAAGCCUGAAGGAGUUACGCCGCGUCAGAGAAGACGGCAUGCGGGUUGAGGAGAUUGGUUAUGCGGGACGAAUAAUUUUGUGAUUAAUAACCAUGAGAAGUGACGGUACCGAAAGAGAAAGUCAUGGCUAACUUCGUG
rnacentral:rRNA from 1 species